CUCAAUGGAGAAUAAUCUACAAGAGAUUCAAGAGAAGUUAAACUCUAUUCAAGAGCAACUCCUGAAGCUGCAGGAGCGGAUGAAUCAAACGGACAGUUUGAUAUUUCUGAAGGAGGAAACUCGUCAGAAGAGGAGGGUGGGUGAUGAAGAACAGACGCUGUCGGUAGCAGACGGUGCCUUGGCAAUUGGAAAGUUCAAUCACCCAUUUUUGUUGAACACGGUGUUCAGCAAAGUGACCGGUGGCAUUAAGAGAGGUAAAAACGUUUUUGUUUUAAACCGUUAGAGUACUUGAUGUAUUAAUUACAUGUACAGUGUAUAUUUAAUACUGGACUGGGCGCUUCAACUUCCUGUGGUUCCAGGCUUGGAUUACUUGCGCCUCUCUUUACGGAUACUUUUCAGAAUUGCAAGCAGCGAUGCACAAUGGGGUGCCGCAAGGCUCGGUGCUGGCACGCCAGUUAUUUACAAUAUAUAUAUUAACGAUUUAGAACAAGGAAUUAAAUGUAACACCUCCAGGUUUGCAGAUGUUGCCAAGCUGGGUGGCAAUGUGAGCUGCGAGGAGGAUGCUAUGAGGCUGAAGGGUGACUUGGAAUGGUUGGGUGAAAGGGCAGAAGUCAAUAUUCAUACCGCUGGACAUGGCAGUUCCCUGAA